ensembl:snRNA U1 U1 spliceosomal RNA
AUACUUACCUGGCAGGGGAGAUACCAUGAUCAUGAAGCUGGUUUUCCCAGGGCAAGGCUUAGCCAUUGCACUCCAGAUGUGCUGACCCCUCCGAUUUCCCAAAUGUGGGAACCUCUCGACUGUAUAAUUUGUGGUAGUGGGGGACUGUGUUCGCACUUUCCCCUG